GCGGAAGAGGGGCAGGCGGAGGCGUCCUCAGUGGCCGCUGCAAGGAUCAACAUGCUUUGAUUUAUUGUACAUCUGACCUAAAAAUGGAUGGGAGGAAAAAAAUGCAGAGAUGAUUCAAAUCAGAGGAAAUUCUGAACAACCAAUUCCACACAGGCAUGAUAUCAUGAGGAAUUUUUCUUUCUCUUUCUGGCUUACUUCACUUAGAGUGAUGAUCUCCAGAUCCAUCCAUGUUCCUGCAAAUUGAAUUUUUUUAAUGGCUGAGUAGUAUUCCAUUGUAUAAACAUACCAUAGCUUCUUUAUCCAGUCAUCUGCCAAUGGACAUUUAGGUUGUUUCCAUGUCUUGGCUAUUGUAUAUAGUGCUGCUAUGAACAAUGGGGUGCAUGUAUCUUUUCAAAUUAGAGUUCCCUCCAGAUAUAUACCCAGAAGUGGGAUUGUUGGAUCAUAUGGUAAGCGUAUUUUUAGUUUUUUAAGGAAUCU